rnacentral:rRNA from 1 species
CACGGCCCAGACUCCUACGGGAGGCAGCAGUAGGGAAUCUUCCGCAAUGGACGGAAAGUCUGACGGAGCAACGCCGCGUGAGUGAUGAARGUUUUCGGAUCGUAAAGCUCUGUUGUUAGGGAAGAACAAGUACCGUUCGAAUAGGGCGGUACCUUGACGGUACCUAACCAGAAAGCCACGGCUAACUACGUGCCAGCAGCCGCGGUAAUACGUAGGUGGCAAGCGUUGUCCGGAAUUAUUGGGCGUAAAGGGCUCGCAGGCGGUUUCUUAAGUCUGAUGUGAAAGCCCCCGGCUCAACCGGGGAGGGUCAUUGGAAACUGGGGAACUUGAGUGCAGAASAGGAGAGUGGAAUUCCACGUGUAGCGGUGAAAUGCGUAGAGAUGUGGAGGAACACCAGUGGCGAAGGCGACUCUCUGGUCUGUAACUGACGCUGAGGAGCGAAAGCGUGGGGAGCGAACAGGAUUAGAUAYCCUGGUAGUCCACGCCGUAAACGAUGAGUGCUAAGUGUUAGGGGGUUUCCGCCCCUUAGUGCUGCAGCUAACGCAUUAAGCACUCCGCCUGGGGAGUACGGUCGCAAGACUGAAACUCAAAGGAAUUGACGGGGGYCCGCACAAGCGGUGGAGCAUGUGGUUUAAUUCGAAGCAMYGCGAAGAACCUUACMMGGUCUUGACAUCCUCUGACAAUCCUAGAGAUAGGACGUCC